GACGAACCGUGCAAACGUUGUUCGGAAUCACUGGGCUUAAAGGGCGCGUAGGCGGGUUCGUAAGUCUGUGGUGAAAGCCCCCAGCUUAACUGGGGAAGUGCCAUGGAUACUGCGAGUCUUGAGGAGGGUAGGGGCAUCUGGAACACUGGGUGGAGCGGUGAAAUGCGUUGAUAUCCAGUGGAACUCCGGUGGCGAAGGCGAGGUGCUGGACCCUUUCUGACGCUGAUGCGCGAAAGCCAGGGGAGCAAACGGG
rnacentral:rRNA from 1 species